GGCUCCGCUCGCCCGCCCUCGGCCAGGAAGCAGGAGCACUACGCCUGCGCAAGAGGACGGCGGCCGCCCUGGAGCAAAGAGGGCCGUGGUCAGAAAGAAGUUGGGAGGCUUCCAGUACCAGACAAAAUGGAGUAAGGCACUGCAGUCUCUGCCACCGAUCACAACUAAAAAUUCUGGACAAAAUGUAACUAAGGACUCCGAAAAGUAAACAAGCAGCCAAAUUAUGGAAGGGAAUCAAAGCUUGAAGAAACUACCUGUAUGGAUACCAGAAUCCUUUUAACCAGGCAUAUGUCUGCCUGAAAUGGACUCAUCUUCCCAACCUCUCCUGCAACUAGGUGCAACCUACCAUGGACUAAGUUCUGCUGUGAGUUGUAGGAGGAGGUACAAUGGGGCACCUUCCUGGAACCUUCCUUACAACACUGCUGGCAGAUUUCCUUUUUCUUCUUUGUCACCUCUUUAAUUCAUCCUGUGGCUUGGAAAGUUGUUGUAAAAAUAGCUGGAGUGCUGGCUACCAUGCUGACCAUGAAGACCUAGGGAGGGAGUCCAGAGACGGAGUCUCGCUCUUGUUGCCCAGGCUGGAGUGCAAUAGUGUGAACUCGGCUCACUGCAACCUCCACCUUCCCGGGUUCAAGUGAUUCUCCUGCCUCAGCCUUUAUCCACAGUACCUUUCAUAGAUGGAUGUCGGGUAAGUGUUUGCUGGUUGAUCCUCUGCUGAUGCCCUGCUCACCUCACAGAAGGCCUGACCGCACACCUACUAGUAUCAGCAAGAAAAACUCAAAAAGAGGAGACUCUUUAGGUUCCAUGGACACAUACA